CAGCUAUUUUAAAACAUAACUAUAUAUGUUUUAGUACUACAAAGUUAUCUUCGGGAUGAAACUUCAUAUUUUCAUCAUGUUGGUGGUGACUGCGGCGUUGUCUUCAGCGAAUUCUUCAGCUGACUCCCAAGAGGAGUCGGUAAAGGAGUCUUUACCGGACUGGGAGUCCGCUUACAGCCGUCACCCCUUCAGAAUCCUUCGGCUAUCCGACUCUUUAUAUGACCAUUAUCCGCCCGUCAUCGACCCUGGAUUUGCUCCUAAUUUUCUCUAUCCUGGCUACAAAUACCUUAGACCGCGCGAUAGAUACAAUCAGCUUUAUGAAUUGAACCGCAAUAAAUAAAUAAAACAAAUUAAUGUCA